rnacentral:rRNA from 1 species
UGGGGAAUUUUGGACAAUGGGCGAAAGCCUGAUCCAGCCAUGCCGCGUGCGGGAAGAAGGCCUUCGGGUUGUAAACCGCUUUUGUCAGGGAAGAAAUCUUCCGAGCUAAUACCUUGGGAGGAUGACGGUACCUGAAGAAUAAGCACCGGCUAACUACGUGCCAGCAGCCGCGGUAAUACGUAGGGUGCAAGCGUUAAUCGGAAUUACUGGGCGUAAAGCGUGCGCAGGCGGUUAUGCAAGACAGAUGUGAAAUCCCCGGGCUUAACCUGGGAACUGCAUUUGUGACUGCAUAGCUGGAGUACGGCAGAGGGGGAUGGAAUUCCGCGUGUAGCAGUGAAAUGCGUAGAUAUGCGGAGGAACACCGAUGGCGAAGGCAGUCCCCUGGGCCUGUACUGACGCUCAUGCACGAAAGCGUGGGGAGCAAACA